GCACCGGCGGUGCAUGGUGCACUUUCCUGUUGAAUAUGAGUCACAGACGUGCACUAAAUUAGGAAUGAGCGGGGUUCGAUUCCCCACCGGUGCC